UGCUGCGUCUCCAUUCUCCACCUGUCCUCCAGAUGUCCUCGGACUCUUCCACCUGUCCCGGUCACAUGACCUCACCUGCUCACCUGUUUCCACUCUCCCUCAUCAGCCCUGCAGAAGAUAACUGGCUCACUCGUUCCCUGUCAGGUUGUCAACAUUGCUUACUUCUUCUCUUUCCAGCCGUCCACAUCGACCCGAUCUGAUCUGUUCCUGCUUCCUGCUUCCUGAUUCUUGUGUUUUCACCUGCUCUCUUGGAUUUGUUUGGACUUCAACACACACCAGAAGUGCUUAAAGAGCUCAGGAAUAAUGAGAAUCUCCAUCAUGUGACGUGGCAGAAAGCUCCACAGCAGCUGCUGAAGAGACCUUCUGGUGAGAGACGAGAUGUUUCCAGAUCCUGAUCAUCACCAGGGCUUCUGAAUGAAGGCUGGGACACUGGGCUCUUUCUCAUUUCCUGGUUUGGUGCCUCCUUGAUUCCUCGAUCCUCCGGUUUGUAAUCCAGAAGUCGAUCUCAGAUCUUCAUCUUGAAGCACAUCCCGAUUCCUAAAAUGCAUCUGGAGGAUGGAGGAGCAGGUGGAGCUGAAGCAUCAACCACUGAUGUCUGGAGCCUCACAGAGCUCUGCUCCACUUUUCUCCUUCAUGUUCCUCUUCAUGUUUAUUUGCUCCACCUCCUCUGUUGAUGCUCGUGUCAUCUGGAUAAUUAAUAUCACAAACUGAAGUCAAACAUGGACUCCAGGACUUUUUCUAUCAGGAAAUAUGACAAUCCAUUUUCACCACUGUGAUGGAAAAACUGAUUCUGAGUCAUAAUGAGAAAGUUUCUCAUUAUUUUCAGUUAAUAACUCAUUAUUUUGAGAAUGUUUCUCAUUUUGACUUGCAGGAUUUGUUUUCCUCCAUCACAGUUUCAUAAAUGGGCUUCUUAUGAAUGAAAUAAUGUCUCAUAUCAAAUCAUAAUAAAUAUGUGUCACUAUUUAACAGACUGAAUGAAAUAAACAGGCUGACAUUUGUAGUAUUCAAUGUGAUAUAAUGUUGGACCAUUAUCAUAACCAUGUAAAUCAUGAGUUUAUUAUUCACACAUAACACAGUCUUUGUCUGAACAUAAUUCUUCUGUAAAAUCAUGCUCUGUAAAUCAUAAUCGCUCAUUCAAAAAACUUUUAAACAAUGUUUCACUAAAUAUUUCUGCUUCAAAAUAAAAAAGGUUC